rnacentral:snRNA from 1 species
AUAGUAACCUGGCGGGGGCGACACCAUGAUCACAAAGGCAUUCCCAGGGUGAGGCUUUCCUAUGUACUCCAGCUGUCCCGACCUGCUAUGUGCCCAAGUGUGGGAAACCCGAUGGCGUAAUCAGUGGGUGGGGACUGCAUUCGCACUCUCCCCUG